rnacentral:rRNA from 1 species
UACGUAGGAGGCAAGCGUUGUCCGGAAUCACUGGGCGUAAAGAGCGUGUAGGCGGUCUGCCAAGUCUGUUGUGAAAGCGCCUGGCUUAACUGGGCGAGGUCGGCGGAAACUGUCCGACUCGAGGACGGUAGAGGGGGGGUGGAAUUCCCGGUGUAGUGGUGAAAUGCGUAGAGAUCGGGAGGAACACCUGUGGCGAAGGCGGCCCCCCUGGGCCCGGCCCCUGACACUGAGACGCGAAAGGCGUGGGGGAGCGAACGGG